AAAGAAGAGGAAGAAGAAGAAGAU
rnacentral:sRNA from 1 species